CCUACGGGUGGCAGCAGUGGGGAAUAUUGCACAAUGGGGGAAACCCUGAUGCAGCGACGCCGCGUGAGUGCAGAAGCGCCUCGGCGCGUAAAGCUCUGUCAGCAGGAACGAUAAGGACGGUAUCUGAAGAAGAAGCCCCGGCUAACUACGUGCCAGCAGCCGCGGUAAUACGUAGGGGGCAAGCGUUAUCCGGAUUUACUGGGUGUAAAGGGAGCGUAGUCGGCGGGGCAAGUCUGGAGUGAAAGGCCUGGGCUCAACCCCGGUAUCGCUCUGGAAACUGGCCGGCUGGAGUGCGGGAGAGGUAGGCGGAAUUCCUAGUGUAGCGGUGAAAUGCGUAGAUAUCAGGAGGAACACCAG
rnacentral:rRNA from 1 species